rnacentral:rRNA from 1 species
GACGAACGCUGGCGGCGUGCUUAACACAUGCAAGUCGAACGGAAAGGCCCUGCUGUUGUGGGGUGCUCGAGUGGCGAACGGGUGAGUAACACGGGAGUAACCGGCCCUUGACUUUGGGAUAACUUCAGGAAACUGGGGCUAAUACCGGAUAGGAGCUCCUGCUGCAUGGUGGGGGUUGGAAAGUUUCGGCGGUUGGGGAUGGACUCGCGGCUUAUCAGCUUGUUGGUGGGGUAGUGGCUUACCAAGGCUUUGACGGGUAGCCGGCCUGAGAGGGUGACCGGCCACAUUGGGACUGAGAUACGGCCCAGACUCCUACGGGAGGCAGCAGUGGGGAAUAUUGCACAAUGGGCGGAAGCCUGAUGCAGCAACGCCGCGUGCUGGAUGACGGCCUUCGGGUUGUAACCCGCUUUCGCCUGUGACGAAGCGUGAGUGACGGUAAUGGGUAAAGAAGCACCGGCUAACUACGUG